rnacentral:lncRNA from 1 species
AAGUAUAUAUAUAUAUUUUUUUUUUUUUCUUCCUUCUCAGAUAUAUGAUGAUUCUUAUAAUAUGGGCAUAUAUUUAACAAAUGAAAUACAUAAUUUAUUAUUAGAACAUAAUUUAUAUUACUAUCAUAAUGAGAAAAGCAAAAACAUAGAGAAUAAUAAAAAAUUGGAUUUUUAUAAAGAGAAUAUACAAGGAAUCAUUAUACGACUAACAAAUGAAUUAAUUAAAAAUAGGACAUACGUUAAGUUAUCGUCUAAGAGUUUGAGUUUGUUCGCAUGGGCAUACAUUUAUUUUGACAUAAAACAGAUAAUCGCAAAAUCUGAUAACAGAUUAGUUGAAGUUGAACAUUGUAACACUUGGUUAGACAUAAUAAAACUGGCAUGUUUGUACAACCAGAUAUCCGAAUGUCACACAAGCCCAUUUUCAGUAGAAUUUAAAGAUGUUCUUAGAAAUAUGAAGGAUGAUGAAAAUGCAGUUAAGGCCUUAGAAUAUAUUAGCAUUUACUUUUAGAAAAGAGAAGUAGGAUAUAACAAUAUUCUUGUUUUUUAUUUUUAAACUUGCAAUUUUGAAUAUAUAUACAUAAAAUAAUACCUUGUCUUUACAUUUUUAAAAUAAAUUAAAAAAUUAUACAUAUAAAUGCUUUCCA